AUGUCUGGAUAUGAUCAUAGUUCAGAUAGGAAGUCCAAUGAUUCUAAAAAUUCGGACACUUCAGAAUGUGAUGCAGCAACUCCUAGAAGUUCUUGCAAAAAAGUUGCCGCAAUUAUAAACAAGUUUGACAAUUGUAAAAGGAAGAUAGUGAAAGAUAUGGAUUUUGGAGGCUUGUUGGACCUUCCACAAAUAAACAAGUUAGAUCGUAAGUUCACAGUGCUGGUGCUAUGCAACACUGAACCUGAUACUAGAACAAUAAGAAUCAAUGAUAGAGUUUCCCUCACAAUAACUGAUGAAGAUGUCCACAGAAUUCUAAGAAUACCAAAGGGUCCGAACUUGUUGAGAGGAUUGGAAUGCCAAUCAGUAGAUGAGAAAAUUGAAUUCUUGCAUCUGGCAAUGGGAUCUGUUACAUACGACCCUGAAGAAAUGAACAGUUUGAAGGUGGCUAAAACAAUAAUAACCAGGGAGUACCCAAAUGGUAUGGAUGCAACACAGGUUGACCAAUUCAAGACUUCUUUUGUUUGCUUCAUAAUGGGAUAUUUCUUAAUAGCUCACAGCAGUGCAAAUCACGGAGCUAAAGAUUUCUGGGGUUCACUACUAAAACCAAAUGAAAUACCAUCAUACAACUUUUGCUUAGCAGCAAUUGAUGAAAUUAUGAAUGCAGCCAGAAAAGCUCAGUAUGAACUGAAGACCAAAAAAUGUGUGAAAUAUGUUUCAAGUUGCGCACUACUUUUGCAGGUGAGUAAUGUAAUUGAAAGAAGCAUGAUUCUGAAAUAUUAUAUUAUUUUCUGCGUCUGA
rnacentral:rRNA from 1 species